AUGAAGGUGGUGACGCGGCCUUUUCAACUGUUGAUGCUGGAUCUCAUGAGUGACAUGCCUGUGAAGACAAACCUGAUGCAAACUCGUUUGACGCAAGUGUUUACUCGUGAUGCAUUUAAGGAGAAGAAAGUUGUUUUGAAGAGGAAGAUGCCAGAUCGAAAUCCUGAUGGCACACAGAGGCGUAGCCCACGUGUGAAAGCUGGUUCCCAACCUGGUAAUAGCAAAGCUGAUGGGGAUAGUGUUGCUAUGAAGAUUGGUCCAAGCAAACUUGGUGGCUCCCCUGUUCGUCGUAGUCCACGGGUUUUGACAAAUAAGAAGCCUUCUUCGCCUCCUCUUCGAGAGCGCUCUUUGUUGAAAGAAAAUAAUAAGUGUAAAGUUCAUCCUGCGAAGGUGAAAAAAGGUGUGAAGAAGCAUGCUCGUGUCGAAGCUGAAGAUGUUGUAUCUGAAGAAGAUGAUAUCGAAGUUGAUUCUGAAGAUGAAUUUGCAGUGGCGAGCGUUAUGAGUCCGGUGAAGCCGGUGGGACGCAAUGCCGGAAAAGUUGCCUUGCAUGAAGGUGACCAACGGAAAUUGAACUUAACUGUGCGAUGUUCGUUGGGAGAGGAUGAAGCUUGUGCUAAAUUGCUUGAGAGUCGGCAUGUGUCUAACAUUUCCCGCCCUCUGAUUGGAGUUUUGUACCUGAGGAUAGAUCCUGAUACGAUGACUCUUGACAUGGGUGAGGCUAAUAAGAAGCUUCGCAUCACUAGCGAUGGUAUACAUCAAUUAUUUGGGUUCCCUCGUGGUGGUCGUUCUCCACCAAGGCCGUCAGAGGAUGGAUAUGACGACGCUCUGAUGAAGUUAAGAUGGGAGCUUGACAUUAGCAGGAACAUAGAUAUCAAGACAAAGGAUUUGACGAAUAAGCUCAAGGUGCUCGUCAAGGAUCCUAGCAAAGAGGACCUUGCUCUGAAAGUGUUCUUCAUUAUUGUGUUUAUGAAGGUUGUGUUGCCUGGUGCCGCCCCGCGUGUUUCCAGAGAGGCAGCAAUGUUUGAGGGUCUCGUCUUUGAGGACAUGGCUAAUAUGGAUUAUUGUCAGCUGAUGGUUGAUGAGCUUAGAAGGGCUGUUGUCAGGUACCAAGAUGGUGUUACCCUUGGGAAGGCAAUCACAGGCUGUGGUAUAGGGCCUGUACUAAUGUACCUUGACUGCCUUAUCCGUGGCAAGACUGCGGAGCCUGACAUGCGAGUCCCCCGCAUAUGUUUCAUGGAUCCUGUCAAGCUUUCUGAUCUGGUUGAUGUAGAUUUGAUAAAAAAGGCAAUGCAGAUCCAAAGACUUGGGUGUUUGGCAAGCUUCCGUAAUGCUAGUACUUCACAGAGGCAGGGUUUUGGUAUUGAUGUUGUUGUUUCUGCGUUGGAGCACGCUUAG
rnacentral:rRNA from 1 species